GGUGAUGUUGGAGGGAUGACCUUUAGUGUUGGGGCUGGGACUGUCAGGCCACAUGUUAUCAUGUCUAGGAUAAGUGUUUGUGUGUUGGGGAGGGGUGGCAGGGUGAG